CACGUAGGGGGCGAGCGUUGUCCGGAUUUAUUGGGCGUAAAGGGCUCGUAGGCGGUUUGUCGCGUCGGGAGUGAAAACCCAGGGCUUAACCCUGGGCUGGCUUUCGAUACGGGCAGACUAGAGGUAUGCAGGGGAGAACGGAAUUCCUGGUGUAGCGGUGAAAUGCGCAGAUAUCAGGAGGAACACCGGUGGCGAAGGCGGUUCUCUGGGCAUUACCUGACGCUGAGGAGCGAAAGUGUGGGGAGCGAACAGG
rnacentral:rRNA from 1 species